rnacentral:misc_RNA from 1 species
AUUUGUCUUGUUUUGAUAACAAAAGCCGGUUUCUUGUGUAUUUGCAAAAAAUAUAAAUUGCAAGCACACUAAACACCUGUCAAAUAUUAGCCGCGCAACCACUAUACAGACAAUUUCUCGGAGAAUUUCAUUAGAAACUGACAUUCUCUUACUCUCUAUUCCAUAGAAAAAGAAUUUUUCAUUAACUACGUCAGACAGUCUACGACUGAAAAUAAUUAUAAUUUAAAAAUACCAGUGGUGGAUGAAUCGUGAAUGAAUAGAUGAAUAUGAAUGUUUGAUUUUAUAUUUUGCCUUUGGUCGGAAACAGUUGAAAACCAACAGCAUUAAUACAAUAUACACAAGUCACACUAAACAACACAACUGAUUGUUAAAGUCGUUUAUUUUUAAAUAAAAAAAAAUAAUUUUCUUAAAGUUAAAGAAGGCACAGACCAGAAAAGAAUAAAAUAAAGGUUCCUAAAUUGCAAAAUAAAAGCCAAGUGAAAAUUUAAAUAUGUACAUUGAACUUUAUAAAUUAAAUACAAAAAUUCAAUGAAUGUGCCUUGAUAUUGAAUAAAAAAAAAACUAAAUAAAAAAACAAUCAGCAAGAUAAAUCAUUAAAGCAACAGAAAAAUCUGCAUAUACAAAAAAAGAAAAGUUUUUCAAUUGGCAAAAAAAAGGAAAUAUCUAUACUACAACUGCCUUUUAAAUAUUACAUAACAAUUCCAUAACAUUAUAAAAAAAUAAAACGAAACACCAAGUAACUCAGUAUUUUAGCUUAAAAGUAUAUUAAGCUUAUUGUAAACGUUUUAUUUACAAAAAAUAUACUUUUUGAAAAUUCAAAUCAAUACUUUUCGACGGUCUCUCUGCUGUGUUCUGCCGUUCAGUGGAGAAUUUUUGCUGUGACCAUAACCUUACACAAUGGCAAGACCAAUUAGUGAUAAUCAUAUUAUCCCUAUUGCUGUGGGUCUAGUUGCUGUAGUAGCUGGCGCUGUUAUUAUCCAUUAUUUAAUUAAUAAGAAAUCCACAAAGAAACCCCGCCCCGAACCAAAUAGAACAGCACGUCUGCGUACUUUAAUCGAUGCUAAUGAUAAAUAUCAAUUACCUUUGAUUGAAAAAGAAGUCUUGAGUCAUGAUACACGUCGCUUCCGUUUUGGUUUACCCUCACAUCAGCAUAUAUUGGGUUUGCCCGUGGGUCAGCAUAUACAUCUUAUUGCCACCAUUGAUAAUGAACUAGUUAUACGUCCAUAUACACCCAUUUCUUCCGAUGACGAUGUGGGUUAUGUUGAUUUAGUCGUUAAGGUUUAUUUCAAAGAUACUCAUCCCAAAUUUCCAGCUGGUGGCAAAAUGUCUCAAUAUUUAGAUCAAAUGCAAAUUGGUGAUAAGAUAUCUUUCCGUGGUCCUUCGGGUCGUUUGCAAUAUUUGGGUAAUGGUAAUUUCUCCAUUAAGAAAUUGCGUAAAGAUCCUCCCAAGACUGUUACUGCUAAACGUGUUAAUAUGAUUGCUGGCGGUACUGGUAUUACACCCAUGUUACAGUUGGUACGUGAUGUCUUGAAACAUAGUGAAAAGGAUAAAACUGAAUUGGCUUUAUUGUUUGCUAAUCAGAGUGAAAAGGACAUUUUAUUGCGUAAUGAACUUGAUGAAUUGGCCAAGAAACAUCCCGAUCAAUUCAAAGUGUGGUAUACUGUUGAUAAAGCUGGUGAAGGCUGGACAUAUAACACCGGUUAUAUAAAUGAUGAUAUGAUGAGAGAUCAUUUGUAUUCACCAUCGCAUGAUACGCUUUGCUUACUAUGUGGACCACCACCAAUGGUUAAUUAUACCUGUAUACCUGGUCUCGAUAGGCUGGGUCAUAAAAGUGAAAUGCGUUUUAGUUACUAAACACAAACAAAAAAAGCAAAGAAACUGAACAGGACACUAAACAAUAUAAAACAGAUACUUACAAGUAGAGAGUUUUAAGUGGAUUGUGUAGAUAGUACAUAUAUGUUGUGUAAUUUUAAAUUAUAUAAAUUUAUUUAACUAUUUAAAUAGUAUUUGUUUUAAUGCUGCCUUAAAAGUGUAUAGUUAAGGAAAAGGCUGGACCUAUAGUGUUGGUUUUAUCAACGACAUGAUGAUUAAAGUUAAUUUAUUCCCCGCCGAUGAUUCUACCAUUACUCUAAUGUGUGGUCCACCACCCAUGAUUAAUUUUGCCUGCAAUCCUGCUUUAGAUCAAUUGGG